CACGUAGGCACCAAGCGUUGUCCGGAUUUAUUGGGCGUAAAGAGCUCGUAGGCGGUUCAGUAAGUCGGGUGUGAAAACUUUGGGCUUAACCCAAAGCGUGCAUCCGAUACUGCUGUGACUUGAGUACGGUAGGGGAGUGGGGAAUUCCUAGUGUAGCGGUGAAAUGCGCAGAUAUUAGGAGGAACACCGGUGGCGAAGGCGCCGCUCUGGGCCGAAACUGACGCUGAGGAGCGAAAGCAUGGGUAGCAAACAGG
rnacentral:rRNA from 1 species